rnacentral:rRNA from 1 species
GGGGAUAAUCGCGGGAAACUGCGGCUAAUACCCCAUAGGCAUUCGGUACUGGAAUGUCCGGAUGCCCAAAGCUACGGUGCUCAUGGAUUGGUCUGCGCCCCAUCAGGCUGUUGUUGGUGUAAAGAACCAACAAACCGAUAACGGGUACGGGCUAUGGAAGUAGGUGCCCGGAGAUGGAUUCUGAGACAUGAAUCCAGGCACUAUGGUGUGCAGCAAGCGCGAAACCUUUACAAUGCAUUCACAUGUGAUAAGGGGAUUCGGAGUGCUCCAGCUUUGCUGGAGCUUUUGUCGACUGUAAACAGGUCGGCGAAUAAGGGCUGGGUAAUACGGGUGCCAGCCGCCGCGGUAAUACCCGAGGCCCAAGUGAUGGCCCCUAUUAUUUGGUCUAAAGCGCCCGUAGCCGGCUCGAUAAGUUCCUGGUGAAAUCUUCCAGCAAACUGGAAGGCGUGCUGGGAAUACUGUCGGGCUUGAGACCGGGAGAGGGUGGAGGUACUUAUGGGGGAGGGGUUAAAUCCUGUAAUCCCAUAGGGACAACCUGUGGCGAAGGCGUCCACCUGGAACGGGUCUGACGGUGAGGGACGAAAGCGUGGGGAGCGAUCGGGAUUAGAUA